rnacentral:rRNA from 1 species
UACGGAGGAUGCAAGCGUUAUCCGGAUUCAUUGGGUUUAAAGGGUGCGCAGGCGGAUUUUUAAGUCAGGGGUGAAAUCUCUCGGCUCAACCGAGAAACUGCCCUUGAUACUGAAAGUCUUGAGUAUAGUUGAAGUGGGCGGAAUGUGUCAUGUAGCGGUGAAAUGCUUAGAUAUGACACAGAACACCGAUCGCGAAGGCAGCUCGCUAAGCUAUAACUGACGCUCAUGCACGAAAGCGUGGGGAUCAAACAGG